GCGGUGGCAGUUGAGCCGCGGGAGGAGCGCUGGGGCAGAAACGGAGAGGGCGGCCCAGAAGGCGAGGGCCGGGCAGGGGCUGGAAAGGAGAUGCUCCUCCCCGGGCCGCACCUGGCCAAGCCGGCUGAUCCGCUGUCGAACCAAAUAGAUGUUGGACGCCAUGCUGCGUGCGCCGCGCCCCCUUCCCUGAAGCCCAGCCCCCAGCACCCCCGUCUCUCCCGCGCGCACGCGCGCCCCCCCCAGGCACUCGCUCCGCUUCCGGCCCCCUCGCCCCCGCGCCGGCGCCUGCGCACCUGGGACGCCUUCCGUGGAGCGAGCGCUUGCUGCCUUACGGCCCUCCGCGGCUCUUCAGGCUCUCGGCUUUCCAGGCGUUCGCCUCCCCCCUGUACCUCUACCUCCUGACCCCGUUUCUCUUCACAGAGCCCAACUUUUCGAUGAAUUUAUGAAGUAAGGACGCAGAUAAAGCCGCAUUUCAAAGCUGUGUUAACGAUCUCUUUCAUUAAAAUGGUGGAAAGUUAGUUAUUGCAGAACAACGGACUUCAGCGACCGACUCCACGUGGGGUACUUCGCAAGCGCCAUUCACCUAACAUUCCUACGGGAAUUACGUUUAUUUUCCAAAGUUACUGGAGCCAGGGUUGAAGGAGGAAGGAGGACAGUUACACCUAUUAGCAGAAGUUGCAGGACGGACCUUUGGUGACCCACCCACCCAACUCUCCCCGUCUGGGGAGGCCCUUCCUUGGGGCCAUUCUUGACGUCUUUCUUCAGAAGGCUAACUCCUCCAAGAUUCGCUUUGGGUGACAUUUCCUCUCGGCACCCGGUGUGGAAGCCUCAACCUAGUGACCUCUUGUGUGGCUUCCUCAAUACCUUGAAAGUUCUUGGGGAGCUGGAAUAACGGCCAGUUCGCGUGUGUGAUAGGAUGGUCAACACGCGUAACACUUAGUCCAAAUGAGGAAGCAAGGACUUUAGCACAAGAGGAUCCGGGUCCCAGCUUCCAGAUUCCCCUAGAUUCUCACCUGAUUGUUAUCUCCAUGGCCAUAUGGAAGAAAAAGUGAAAUCAGAAGUUGUCUGUUUGGACUGGGGAAAGCUCCUGGGGCUUCCAAGAAGAAUAUUCACUACUUGUCCUGCUGACACCAACCAGUAUGUCCUACAGGCAUCUACUGAUCCUGGCUGGCUUCACCCAGCCCUGUGUCCUGGAGGGAUUGGAAAUGAACUCAUGGCCAGUGCUAGUAGAUGGCUACUUCCUCCUGCCAUGCCUGAAAACACACAGCAACCUCCUGUGAGGGGUCAGUGCUUGGAACAAGGCUCUUCUGGAAGCACAGAAUUUCUUUAUUAUUAUUGCUGCUACUGUUGUUGUUAUUAUUUCAGCACUGGGAACUGAGCCCAAGACACUCUACAACUGAGCUACAUCCCCAGCUCUUUUGAUUUUUUUUUUUUAAUUUUGAGAGAGGUCUUGCUGAGUUGCUCAGGCUGGGCUUGAACUUGUGAUCCUGCCCAACAUGGAAGCACAGAAUCUUCAGUGGGUUUCCCUUUGCCUAUCCGGGAGAAAGACGAAAGGGAGGGAAUCCCAGGCCAUGCUGGGCUUCCACCACCCUAUUCCUCUCCCAAGGCCCUUCCCAUGGAGGCUAACAGAUGCAGGUUUUGUUGGGCCUGAACAUCAUCUAGGCAAUAAAAUUCCCUUAGGUUAUGUACUAGAUCAAUUAAAAUUCU